CGGGUGGCUGGUUGAAGACAACACGAGUUGCUACACCAAGAACUUGGGGUGGGUGAUUGUGUGCGUGUGUGAGAGAGGAAGGAAGACAAAAGCAAAAAAGGGAAAGGAAGUCCGAGAAUGUCUGUAGGACUGCUUGUGUGCGAAGUGGUCUGCGAAAAUGGAGAGAAGAAGAGCAAAGAAAGUGUUUCGUGUUGUGUGUUGUGUGUUGUGGGGAGAUGGAAAGUAGAGUAUGUUAUGAGAAACCAAGGAGAAAGGGAGAGAGAACUUAAUAAUGAAAUAAUCUUAUCAAUGUUCAUGAAUGAGAUCAAACUGUCGAAUCGAAAAAAUUUAAGUACUAUUAUAUAUUUUUGUAUCGACUAAGUUCACGAGUUGAAGAUAAAUGAACUCGAACCGCUGACAUCCGUCACAAGGUAAACCAUUGCAUCUCAGGUUUCGACUAAUUCUACCAUAGAGACCAAUGAUAGACAAUAACUCCCCCGAACACAGCUCACAACUUUCAUCUUACUAUACUCUCCAAAGAGCAACUCUUCUCAAAACAUCAAAAAAUGCUAAGUUGGAAUCUCAUUCUAAUUAAAUGAAACGUGAGUGAGAAGAUAUUUGUCUACACACAGUGCUUCAAAAGAAAUCUUUGACUACUUUAAUUAUUUUAAAUAUUCAAACAAUUUUAAUUACGGGAUAAAUUAGAUAUUUUGAAAAACAUUGGAGGUUAGGAUGAAGUGUUUGGAAGUAUAAGGUGAAACCCUCCCACAAUAUCACAAAAUUGACAUUGCUUCCUGCACCCACUUAAUUAAUAAAUCCACCACAUACUGGCAGAAAAAGAUUGAAUUAUCCUUUAUCACAGCACAUCAUUACUUCUUUUGUCAUCUCCACUGUUGCUGUCCUUUCUAUCAUUGCCG
rnacentral:lncRNA from 1 species